GACGAACGCUGGCGGCGUGCUUAACACAUGCAAGUCGAACGGUGAAGCGCCUUCCUUUUUGGUGGGUGUGGAUGAGUGGCGAACGGGUGAGUAACACGUGAGUAACCUGCCCCCUUCUUCUGGAUAACCGCAUGAAAGUGUGGCUAAUACGGGAUAUUCUGGGUCUGUCGCAUGAUGGGUCUGGGAAAGAUAUUGUUUCGGUGGGGGAUGGGCUCGCGGCCUAUCAGCUUGUUGGUGGGGUGAUGGCCUACCAAGGCGGUGACGGGUAGCCGGCCUGAGAGGGUGGACGGUCACACUGGGACUGAGACACGGCCCAGACUCCUACGGGAGGCAGCAGUGGGGAAUAUUGCACAAGGGGCGCAAGCCUGAUGCAGCGACGCCGCGUGAGAGAUGGAGGCCGUCGGGUUGUGAACCUCUUUCGCCAGUGAAGCAGGCCUGCCUCGUUUGUGGGUGGGUUGACGGUAGCUGGAGAAGAAGCGCCGGCUAACUACGUG
rnacentral:rRNA from 1 species